GACAGAGGGGGCAGGCGUUGCUCGGAAUUACUGGGCGUAAAGGGCGCGUAGGCGGUUUGGCAAGUCGGGUGUGAAAUCUCCGGGCUCAACUCGGAGAGGCCACUCGAGACUGCUAUGACUAGAGUCCGGUAGGGGACCAUGGAAUUCCUGGUGUAGCGGUGAAAUGCGUAGAUAUCGGGAGGAACACCAGUGGCGAAGGCGGCUCUCUGGGCCUUACCUGACGCUGAGGAGCGAAAGCAUGGGGAGCAAACAGG
rnacentral:rRNA from 1 species